GACAGAGGAUGCAAGCGUUAUCCGGAAUGAUUGGGCGUAAAGCGUGCGUAGGUGGUUUGUUAAGUCUGUUGUGAAAGCCCCGGGCUCAACCUGGGAAUGGCAAUGGAUACUGGCAAGCUAGAGUGCGGUAGAGGGUAGUGGAAUUCCCGGUGUAGCGGUGAAAUGCGUAGAGAUCGGGAGGAACACCAGUGGCGAAGGCGGCUACCUGGACCAGCACUGACACUGAGGCACGAAAGCGUGGGGAGCAAACAGG
rnacentral:rRNA from 1 species